rnacentral:rRNA from 1 species
GAUGAACGCUGGCGGCGUGCCUAAUACAUGCAAGUCGAGCGAACAGACGAGGAGCUUGCUCCUCUGACGUUAUCGGCGGACGGGUGAGUAACACGUGGAUAACCUACCUAUAAGACUGGGAUAACUUCGGGAAACCGUAGCUAAUACCGGAUAAUAUAUUGAACCGCAUUGUUCAAUAGUUAAAGACGGUUUUUCUUUCACUUAUAGAUGGAUCCGCGCCGCAUUAGCUAGUUGGUAAGGUAACGGCUUACCAAGGCGACGAUGCGUAGCCGACCUGAGAGGGUGAUCGGCCACACUGGAACUGAGACACGGUCCAGACUCCUACGGGAGGCGGCAGUAGGGAAUCUUCCGCAAUAGGCGAAAGCCUGACGGAGCAACGCCGCGUGAGUGAUGAAGGUCUUCGGAUCGUAAAACUCUGUUAUUAGGGAAGAACAAAUGUGUAAGUAACUAUGCACGUCUUGACGGUACCUAAUCAGAAAGCCACGGGUAACUACGUG